UGUUGGGAAAGAAAUCCAGCUGGUUAAUACCCGGUUGGGAUGACGGUACCCAAAGAAUAAGCACCGGCUAACUUCGUGCCAGCAGCCGCGGUAAUACGAAGGGUGCAAGCGUUACUCGGAAUUACUGGGCGUAAAGCGUGCGUAGGUGGUCGUUUAAGUCCGUUGUGAAAGCCCUGGGCUCAACCUGGGAACUGCAGUGGAUACUGGGCGACUAGAGUGUGGUAGAGGGUAGCGGAAUUCCUGGUGUAGCAGUGAAAUGCGUAGAGAUCAGGAGGAACAUCCAUGGCGAAGGCAGCUACCUGGACCAACACUGACACUGAGGCACGAAAGCGUGGGGAGCAAACAGGAUUAGAUACCCUGGUAGUCCACGCCCUAAACGAUGCGAACUGGAUGUUGGGUGCAAUU
rnacentral:rRNA from 1 species